UAUUGAGGAUAUUGCAUGGGACCCUCGAAACGAGCGAUUGGCUGUUUCUGUGGAAGUCACGUGCGCCGACGUCUAUGAUGAUUCUCAAGAUGAAACAAAUUUGCCGACCAAUGAAAACGAGAUAAAGUUCGACUUUAGUCGUUUGGAAGGGGAAGAAAGACGGUAUCUUAUUGGCUUACUACAUACAAGACUUCCUUAUAAGGAUGCGAUGGAUAGAGCUCUUCAAAUCAGUUCAUUAGGAUGGAUAAGGGGUCCUGCGCUUUGUCCUCAAGCAGGACUUCUCAAGCCAACUCACUUACACUUUUUAAAAACUUGGCAAAAGGGGGCAGUUUUAUCUGUGUGCUGGCAAUCGAAAACUGAGAUGAAGAUUUCGUUUGUCCCGAUGAUGUUUAGC